rnacentral:tRNA from 1 species
GCGUCGGUGGUUCAGUGGUAGAAUGCUCGCCGGCCACGCGGGUGACCCGGGUUCAAUUCCCGGCCGACACA